rnacentral:rRNA from 1 species
GGAAACAGAGAAGUGCCUCGCAAGAGGAAUUCGGAGACAGGUGCUGCAUGGCUGUCGUCAGCUCGUGUUGUGAGAUGUUGGGUUAAGUCCCGCAACGAGCGCAACCCUUGUCUUUAGUUGCCAUCAUUAAGUUGGGCACUCUAAAGAGACUGCCGGUGUCAAACCGGAGGAAGGUGGGGAUGACGUCAAGUCCUCAUGGCCUUUAUGACCAGGGCUACACACGUACUACAAUGGCAGGUACAAAGGGCAGCCACUUAGCGAUAAGGCGCGAAUCCCGUAAAACCUGUCUCAGUCCAGAUUGGAGUCUGCAACUCGACUCCAUGAAGUUGGAAUCGCUAGUAAUCGCAGAUCAGCACGCUGCGGUGAAUACGUUCCCGGGCCUU